AGUCGUCGCUAGUGUACACGGUAGGUCGUAGUGCGUCAUACCGUGUCACUGUGAUCUAAGGUGUGGGUCGACUGGUGCGGGUAGUUUUUCCCGAGAAUUUUCCGAGAGUUUUCCCGGCCGGCCAGUCAGCCCCCGUGAAAACCUUCUGUAAAAACUCGCAUUGUAAUCACGGAGGACGACCUUAACGCGGUCCGCGACGUUAUUGAUCGUCUCCGAACGGCGACGGACGUCGAACGAACGUUUGGAUUGCUGCCGACUGGGCCGCGACUCUGCGAGGCACCUACCCUAAUAGAAGUUCAUGUCAGCUAGUCUGUGUCCGUCCGUCCGUCAACGGUUGCUGCUUACCGAUGCGCAGUUACGAUUGUUGAAACCGGGAAUUCAUCACGCUCGCGGAGUGAGCUUUCAGGACUUGUUGUAUCGACGAGCCCGCCGAUGGAAUCUGGAUUCGGGAACAAACGCUCACGCGAAUGACAAUGCAAAUAGAACGAUAGAGAUCCAUGAUAUUUGCUGACAUCAGCCGCACAACUGGUACACUUUUUGGUCUUGCACUUCAUUUUACACUGAUAUCAUUGGUAACUUUGCAUGCCCAUAAAACUGUUUUGUCAUGUUGCUUCUAUAAAUUGUGUGUGCGUGUGUCGUGUGGGGAA
rnacentral:lncRNA from 1 species